rnacentral:rRNA from 1 species
UACGUAGGGUGCAAGCGUUAAUCGGAAUUACUGGGCGUAAAGCGUGCGCAGGCGGCUUUGCAAGACAGAUGUGAAAUCCCCGGGCUUAACCUGGGAACUGCAUUUGUGACUGCAAGGCUGGAGUGCGGCAGAGGGGGAUGGAAUUCCGCGUGUAGCAGUGAAAUGCGUAGAUAUCGGAAGGAACAUCAGUGGCGAAAGCGGCUUCCUGGACCAGAACUGACGAUCAGGCUCGAAAGCGUGGGGAGCAAACAGG